rnacentral:rRNA from 1 species
UCCGUAGGUGAACCUGCGGAGGGAUCAUUACAAGUGACCCCGGUUUACCACCGGGAUGUUCAUAACCCUUUGUUGUCCGACUCUGUUGCCUCCGGGGCGACCCUGCCUUCGGGCGGGGGCUCCGGGUGGACACUUCAAACUCUUGCGUAACUUUGCAGUCUGAGUAAACUUAAUUAAUAAAUUAAAACUUUUAACAACGGAUCUCUUGGUUCUGGCAUCGAUGAAGAACGCAGCGAAAUGCGAUAAGUAAUGUGAAUUGCAGAAUUCAGUGAAUCAUCGAAUCUUUGAACGCACAUUGCGCCCCCUGGUAUUCCGGGGGGCAUGCCUGUUCGAGCGUCAUUUCACCACUCAAGCCUCGCUUGGUAUUGGGCAACGCGGUCCGCCGCGUGCCUCAAAUCGACCGGCUGGGAAGUGUGUCCCCUAAGCGUUGUGGAAACUAUUCGCUAAUUGAAGGUCGGGAGGCUACGCCGUAAAACAAACCCAUUUCUAAGGUGACCUC